AGUCGCUGUUGAAAUACCACCCUUGAAUUAUCUGAUGCCUAACCCGAGUAGGGGACAUUGUGUGGUGGGUAGUUUGACUGGGGCGGUCGCCUCCUAAAGCGUAACGGAGGCGCGCGAAGGUUGGCUCAGAGCGGUCGGAAAUCGCUCGUUGAGUGCAAUGGCAGAAGCCAGCCUGACUGCAAGUCUGACAAGACGAGCAGAGACGAAAGUCGGUCAUAGUGAUCCGGUGGUCCCGAGUGGAAGGGCCAUCGCUCAACGGAUAAAAGGUACGCCGGGGAUAACAGGCUGAUACUGCCCAAGAGUCCAUAUCGACGGCAGUGUUUGGCACCUCGAUGUCGGCUCAUCUCAUCCUGGGGCUGGAGCAGGUCCCAAGGGUACGGCUGUUCGCCGUUUAAAGAGGUACGUGAGCUGGGUUUAGAACGUCGUGAGACAGUUCGGUCCCUAUCUGCCGUGGGUGUAGGAUACUUGAGAGGAGUUGCCCCUAGUACGAGAGGACCGGGGUGAACGAACCACUGGUGGACCUGUUGUUGCGCCAGCAGCAGUGCAGGGUAGCUAUGUUCGGACAGGAUAACCGCUGAAGGCAUCUAAGCGGGAAGCCCCCCUCAAAACAAGGUAUCCCUGAGGACCGUGGUAGACCACCACGUCGAUAGGCCGGAGAUGUAAGUGCAGUAAUGCAUUCAGUUGACCGGUA
rnacentral:rRNA from 1 species